UAGGCCGGUACUCGCGAAUGCCCUAGGCUUAAGUUUGAUCAUGGCUCAGAUCCCAACGCUGUUAAGCAUGCUUUACACAUGCAAGUCGAACGGUAACAGGUCUUCGGAUAGCUGACGAGUGGCGAACGGGUAGAGUAAUACAUACGGAACGUGCCUAGUAGUAGGGGGAUAACUACUCGAAAGAGUAGCUAAUACCGCAUAGAGAUCUACGGAUGAAAGCAGGGGACCUUCGGGCCUUGUGCUACUAGAGCGGCUGAUGGCAGAUUAGGUAGUUGGUAGGGGUAAAGGCUUACCAAGCCUGCGAUCUGUAAGCUGGUCUGAGAGGACGACCAGCCACACUGGGACUGAGACACGGCCCAGACUACCUACGGGAGGCAGCAGUAGGGGAACAAUAGGACAACUGGGCGAAAGCCUGAUCCAGCAAUGCCGCGUGCAGGAAGAAGGCCCAUCGCGGUUGUAAACUGCUAANAGCAACGGAACGAAAAAGCCUNGGAGGCUAANAUACCCCGGGGACAUGACGGUACACAGGUNCACAGGAAAACUUAACAAGCAACCCACGGGCAUAACCNUAACCAGANNGCCCCAAGGCCACAAGACNCCGGACGCNGUCAAAAAAACCNUUAAGCGGGGGUCGCACAAAGCCGGUUUCAAUNCCCGGCGANAAAUNUACACACGGGAGGCACGACAAAAGCCGNGUGCAGGCCACNGGCCAGGCACA
rnacentral:rRNA from 1 species